AGCAGCCGCGGUAAUUCCAGCUCCAAUAGCGUAUAUUAAAGUUGUUGCAGUUAAAAAGCUCGUAGUUGAAUUUCGGGGUUAGUAGGCCGGUCGUGCCACAGGUAUGCACUGGUCUUACUGACUUCUCCUUUCUGAAGAACUGUAAUGCCAUUAAUUUGGUGUUGCAGGGAAACAGGACUGUUACUUUGAAAAAAUUAGAGUGUUUAAAGCAGGCUAACGCUUGAAUACAUUAGCAUGGAAUAAUGAAAUAGGACGUUCGAUCCUAUUUUGUUGGUUUCUAGGAUUGACGUAAUGAUUAAUAGGGAUAGUUGGGGGCAUUAGUAUUCAAUUGUCAGAGGUGAAAUUCUUGGAUUUAUUGAAGACUAACUACUGCGAAAGCAUUUGCCAAGGAUGUUUUCA
rnacentral:rRNA from 1 species